rnacentral:piRNA from 1 species
UAUUUAAAAAUGGCAGUUAAUGUAUCUAU